UACGAAGGGGGCUAGCGUUGCUCGGAAUCACUGGGCGUAAAGCGCACGUAGGCGGAUUGCUAAGUCAGGGGUGAAAUCCUGGAGCUCAACUCCAGAACUGCCCUUGAUACUGGCGGUCUCGAGUCCGGGAGAGGUGAGUGGAACUGCGAGUGUAGAGGUGAAAUUCGUAGAUAUUCGCAAGAACACCAGUGGCGAGGGCGGCUCACUGGCCCGGUACUGACGCUGAGGUGCGAAAGCGUGGGGAGCAAACAGG
rnacentral:rRNA from 1 species